UACGUAGGUGGCUAGCGUUGUCCGGAUUUACUGGGCGUAAAGCGCGCGCAGGCGGUCGUUCAAGUCGAGUGUGAAAGCCCCCGGCUCAACUGGGGAGGGUCACUCGAUACUGAUCGACUUGAAGGCAGAAGAGGGAAGCGGAAUUCCCGGUGUAGUGGUGAAAUGCGUAGAUAUUGGGAGGAACACCAGUGGCGAAGGCGGCUCACUGGACCGGUACUGACGCUGAUGCGCGAAAGCGUGGGGAGCAAACAGG
rnacentral:rRNA from 1 species